rnacentral:tRNA from 2 species
GGCGUGGAGCAGCUCGGUAGCUCGCUGGGCUCAUAACCCAGAGGUUGCGGGUUCACCUCCUGUACCCGCUA